rnacentral:lncRNA from 1 species
CGGCAGCCCAGGGUUCGCCGGUUGGGCUCCCGGGUGCAGACAUGGCACCGCUUGGCUAAGCCAUACUGUGUUACCAAGACUCCCUGGGUGGCAGCAAAAAAGUCAACAAGGAAAUAAAACUCCACCACCUGGCGUAUUAGUUGGGGAUAAAGCUAUACACAGGACAGAAUCAGAACAGCAUGACCAAGAAUCCGCUCUAAAAUGUGAUUUCAAAUGGAGAAGAAUGAAGCAGUUUUUCGGAGACCUGGAAAGCACACAUUGUUUAGGUUGACCCAAAGCCAUCCCCAGGAGUCCAGGGAGUGCCAUACAUGAGAAUGAAGAAGCCUUCAAGAUGACGCUAGCCCUAGCUGCUGCCUGUAACGAUCGAGAACUGGAAGCCAGAAAUGCCCAGAGGGGACUAGCUGAUCCCAGAACCAUAAGAGAUACUAAUAAAUUAUUACUGUUUUAAGCUGCAAUAAAUAAUUAGAACAGAAAGCACAUUGCACAUAAUGUGAUGUAGAACUCAACCCAGGUGAUUCUCCUGCUCACUACUGAGUACAAAUGUGAGCACACAGAGACAAAGUAAUGUCUCACGGGACAGCAGAGUUGGUAGCUGUCUGCUGCUAUGGUUUGAGGGAGACUCAAUGGAACCUCCCUCGGGGGACUGCUCAGGCCCCUGACUGCUCCCAUAGUAAUUGCUUCUUUAGGAUCUGCAACCUGGCACACUUGCAGAAUGUUAGAGACCCACAUCCAGUGGGUUUCAAACUAGGAACAUUUGGGAUUUGGGGAAGGGACUGCCAAGCAGAUAGGGUGCAAAGGAAGCCUGGUGGGUACAGCUUAUUCCUUUCUCUGUUCUCAGGGACAGGGCUUCUUCCCAGCCUCACAGGUGGGACAUGUGAACUAAGUGGCCAAUCAGUGCAAUACUUUCCUCUGGCCCUUGUGAUUGGUGUAGGCUCAGACAUGUGGUUCAUGCCAGGCCAAUCAAAAUGAACGUCAGGACGUUCACAGGGAAUGCUGGGGAAAAGAUGCUCACUCUUUUUCAGUACGUUGGAAUUUAGAAGAAUAUUGUUCUGGGACUUCUAGAAGCCAUCCUGUGAUGAGGAGGGGCAGAGGAUCCUGGGAAUGGAGUAGAAAGAGGGAAACAGAGUGGAGAGGAGACAGAAACAAACAAACAAAACUGACCCUGCUCACUUUGUUUGUACCUCUGUAUCCAGCUAUUCUUGAAGCUGGAUCUUCCUGGACUAUUUUGUAAUGUGAGCCCACAAAUUUAUUUUAUUUUUCUUCUUGAUGUAAGCAAC